GGAGGAGGAAGGCGUUUGGCAGAGGGUGUGGCGCUCGGGUGGGAACGGGGAACUUUGUCUUUUCCCGGCCCAUGACCCAAAUGCCCCCAUCGUGUGCAGGUGCUGCCACGAUCCCCAGGCUUCUUGCAUGGUCUGUCCCCCGUCACCUCACACAUAACCCAGAAUGGCCCAUACACAGGGUACAUCCCACCAUAAUGGGAACUGAGUCACGUCCCUCUCCCUUCAACCACAGUGGCUGGCUGAUUGUAUUUCUGUAACCAAAACCUUUCCUCCUUUUUUCCUUUCCUCCUUUUUUAACUCCAAGAUGAUAAUUCCUACUGCUGUCUUCCAAACUAAGCAAGCCCUUAAUCCAGUGGCUUUCAAUGCUGACCUGCAGAGCACCUGCGUGGAGUUAAAACAGCACUGGUUGAUCACCUAGAUGAUGAGGAUAUUCACUGCUUAAGAAUAACUUACUUGUUCUGAACUUUCUCUCAAUUCUUCCAGAGCUGCUGCUUCAAGCCAUCCACCAGCAAGGAAUCGAGGCAUCUGGCCACUGUCCUGCAUACUUCUGAGUUUUUACAACUAUCACAAUUGCUGCAUGCAAAGUACCUGUGAUUCAUUGUAUUACCUAUCAGGCUAGAAGUCUGCAUUUAGAUGUGGCCGGAGCUAAAUCUGGAGUCUAAUUACAGUGUAGAAAAACUAGCAGUGCAAAAUGUUACAAUUUUUUAACAGCUAGAGUAAGUGUAACCUACUUUCUCCAAAUGUUGUCUAUACAAAAAGAUCUUGGUUUAUCUGAACUAUUUGCAAUGCUAGAAGCAUCAGGAUUACUGCACUCUUAAAAUCAAGUGGAAUGAAGGAAAGACUGUUGUAGCUGUGAAAUGUAUUUAAUUUAUUAAAUAUUUAUUAUUAUUUGUCCUAAAGUAUUUAUUAAUAUUUGUCCUAAACUAAUUAGGUGAUACAAAGAGUAUACUCACUAAGAGUAAGUUCUAAAAUUCUGAGAAUGAUGUAUUUUAUUUCUCUCACAAAACAGAAACAGAAUGUUCAUCAAAAUCAUUGCUAAUGGUAUUUAAAAACAGAUGAAAAAGAGAGUGAUUUUAAAAUAAAAGUACUCUUAGCUUGAUUACCUAAAGAAAUAAUGUUCUUGCAAUCAUA